UACCUCUGAUACCAACUGUCACGUCCCCGUAGCCGCCGAUGGUGAGCCGGGACGUGAGGAGCUGGUGACGCACCGAUAUGCCGCUCCGUGGAGGAAGACGAGCGAAGGGACGAACCCUGUUUCCGAUUUCUGAUUUGUCUUCAAUACCUCUCCUGCCGUUGUGGUCCUGCCUUUAGGCUGCUCCGAGUUGGGCCAUGCGACAUCGAGGCCCAUCACGUGGUGAGCCAGUGUCGGGUGUUACACCGCCGUGGCUGUCGGGGAUGGCAUGGAUCCUGUGGGGCAGCGCGGCCACCAGACCAGCCCGCGACACCUUCUCCUCCGGCGAGAGCCCGUUCACCUUCCUGGCGGCUACCUUCUGUAGCUUGACCACCACCUCCAGGAGCCGCGCCUUGGUCCGCCGUACGUCGGCGUCCAGGGUCACCGAGGCCGCCCGGUUCUUCUUCUUCUUCGCGGCCCUCGCCGAUUUCUGACGCACGGAGUCACCGUGCAUGAGUGGCCAUGGUUUCACCAGUGGCGGCAAACCGUCUUUAAGGCAGCCAAGGGAAGACCAAGGGAGGGGAGACCGGAGACCUCGAUGGCGGCGUCGAUCCCGGCGUCCACGGCAGCGUAGAGGCGCGAGAAGGGGUCGCCGUGCUUGUCGGUGUCGUACCGCUCGUACUUCUUGCAGAUGGCGUCCACCCGCGUGAUCACGUCGAUCAUGCUCAUCUUGCGGGCCUACCGAGAUUUCCGAAGUGGAGAGAGGCUGCGAGAUGAUCGGUGGUUAGGUUAAUGAUGACUGGUUGGCAGCUAAGUUUAGCUGAUUGCCCCGAUUCUCCCUCCCGGGUUUCAGUGAAUCAUCAGUGCGUGCUCAUCCCCGUGGCCUGCUCCAUUUUUAGGAAAAAGCCGAGCGAGCAUCGCCAUGGCUGGAGGCUGGAGCCGUUCACUCGUCCCUGCCAGAGGCCACUUCGUGCGAGUAGCAAGUCGGCAUCCAAAACAAGCCCCUCUAAAAGAAGAAUCCAUGGGGAUUUUCAACUAGAAGUUUCCCAGGAGGAAUGGUACUGCUCUGCCGCUUCAGAUAAGUAUUCCAGCAUGAACUUUAAACUACAACACAGAUUAUAAAGUACGCUCUAAUACCGGUAACCUGCUAACAAAGGCUGGAUUCAAAUGAUGAACUACACUUGGAUAGUUGGAUUUCAAGUGUUUUCGGCCGUCUUGAAAGCCAGCUUUUUCUCUGACCUCAGCUGAAAAAAGGGACAAUGUUAGAACAAGAAGAAAUCCAGUGAAGAAUGAAGAGAAAUUCAGGACAACAAGCAUGAGCUGUCAGCAGCUGAGAUUUGUUGAGUACAUUUAUUAUGCAAGUUUGAUGUUGUUGGCAUUUUUAUGGUCAAAUACUAACUCUCUCUAGGCUUGCGUGUGGCGUGCAACGGGACCUUGAAGACUUCUUUGUGGGUUGAUGGACUGUUCGAGAUAUAUCACUGGACCAUCCAUAAUGGCGCAGGGAAGAACCUAGAUCCCAUCUCUCGGGAGCAACCCCAUUAGCGAGACAGGAUCCAUCAGGGAGAUAGGAUCCAUCAGAUGUUUGGGAUCCGCAGACCACUUAAAGCACAUCAAGACGACGUAAACGAGGUGAAGAAUAUUGAAAUUGGGGAACUACAACUAGAGCUACGCUACAUCUAGACAUAACGUAGGAAGAUAAGUAAUGUAAAUAGAUUGGUUUGAUU